rnacentral:rRNA from 1 species
UGGGGAAUAUUGGACAAUGGGGGCAACCCUGAUCCAGCCAUGCCGCGUGAGUGAUGAAGGUCUUAGGAUUGUAAAGCUCUUUCGGCGGGGAAGAUGAUGACGGUACCCGCAGAAGAAGCCCCGGCUAACUUCGUGCCAGCAGCCGCGGUAAUACGAAGGGGGCUAGCGUUGUUCGGAAUUACUGGGCGUAAAGGGCGUGUAGGCGGCUUGCAAAGUCGGGCGUGAAAGCCCCGGGCUCAACCCGGGAAUUGCGUUCGAUACUGGCGAGCUAGAGUUCGGGAGAGGGUCGUGGAAUUCCCAGUGUAGAGGUGAAAUUCGUAGAUAUUGGGAAGAACACCAGUGGCGAAGGCGGCGACCUGGACCGAUACUGACGCUAAGGCGCGAAAGCGUGGGGAGCAAACAGG